rnacentral:misc_RNA from 1 species
GAUGAAGAACGUAGCGAAAUGCGAUAAGUAAUGUGAAUUGCAGAAUUCCGUGAAUCAUCGAAUCUUUGAACGCUCAUUGCGCCCCCUGGUAUUCCGGGGGGCAUGCCUGUCCGAGCGUCAUUGCAACCUUCAAGCGCGGCUUGUGUGUUGGGUCUCGUCCCCCGUGGACGGGCCCGAAAGGCAGUGGCGGCGUCCCGACAUGGUGCCCGAGCGUAUGGGAAUCCUCUUCCGCUCGAAUCGGCCCAUGCGGCGCUGGUCGUAACCAAAUUUUUUACCGGUUGACCUCGGAUCAGGUAGGGAUACCCGCUGAACUUAAGCAUAUCAAUAAGCGGAGGA